GACGAACGCUGGCGGCGUGCCUAAUACAUGCAAGUUGAGCGCUGAAGGUUGGUACUUGUACCAACUGGAUGAGCAGCGAACGGGUGAGUAACGCGUGGGGAAUCUGCCUUUGAGCGGGGGACAACAUUUGGAAACGAAUGCUAAUACCGCAUAAAAACUUUAAACACAAGUUUUAAGUUUGAAAGAUGCAAUUGCAUCACUCAAAGAUGAUCCCGCGUUGUAUUAGCUAGUUGGUGAGGUAAAGGCUCACCAAGGCGAUGAUACAUAGCCGACCUGAGAGGGUGAUCGGCCACAUUGGGACUGAGACACGGUCCAAACUCCUACGGGAGGCAGCAGUAGGGAAUCUUCGGCAAUAGACGAAAGUCUGACCGAGCAACGCCGCGUGAGUGAAGAAGGUUGUCGGAUCGUAAAACUCUGUUGGUAGAGAAGAACGUUGGUGAGAGUGGAAAGCUCAUCAAGUGACGGUAACUACCCAGAAAGGGACGGCUAACUACGUG
rnacentral:rRNA from 1 species